rnacentral:rRNA from 1 species
UACGUAGGGUGCAAGCGUUGUCCGGAAUUAUUGGGCGUAAAGAGCUCGUAGGCGGUUUGUCGCGUCGGGAGUGAAAUCCACUGGCUUAACUGGUGGCUUGCUUUCGAUACGGGCAGACUGGAGGUAUGCAGGGGAGAACGGAAUUCCUGGUGUAGCGGUGAAAUGCGCAGAUAUCAGGAGGAACACCGAUGGCGAAGGCAGGUCUCUGGGCCGAUACUGACGCUGAGGAGCGAAAGCGUGGGGAGCGAACAGG